GUGAGCAUUCAUCCUUCAAUGUAUCAUUAAUUUUGAAAUGUUUUAUACAUUUUACUCUAUUGAUAUCUUCUGGAAGGUAUCAAAUAAUGACAACUCAUUAAAGUAGAUAAUUUUUCUUAAAAUUUUCUAUUUUUAAAAAGUGGAAAUGUGUGUUCAAAAAACAUGUUCGACAAUGAAUGAAAGCUGAAUGCAGCAAAUGCAGAAUGUGAUCACCAAGGCACAUGCUAAGCAUUUUGCUUCACCACCCUGAGCAGCCGGAUAAAAGUAAUUGUAGGGUGGAUUUGUUUGUUGGGGAUAUUUACUAGCAAUGAUUAAAUGGGGGGCACAGUGAUGAUCUUUAAAUAUUUACUGACAUUUUAUUCAUUUGGCAAAUGUUUGUUGAGUGCCUGGUUUCUGCGUCAUGGGGUUGGAUGGUUGAGACACAAAGAUAAAUAGGGCAGACCUCUGUGAUCUAUGUUCUGUCCCAGGACAUCAGUGUUUCAUAAAAAAAGGCAAAAGGCAAGAAAAAGGGAAGGAUCUGUUCUAGCUAUAGAGCGGCCAUGAAGCAUGGCAAUGCAGAUACGCUAUUUCAUUCUGUAUUGUAUAAUACUAGUGAGUCAUUUGUUAUGUGUUUACUUACAUUUCUAAACUUAGUGGCCACCUAAAGACAGGUCAGAUAAAACUUUAAAAGGGAAAGGGACUUGAUUUGGUUCUUGAAUAUCAAAAGAUGUGUGAGGAAAGGGCCUGGAAAGGCAUUUUUUUGAAGGAAAUGUCUGUAUGUGAAAUUAGAAGUGAUGUUGCUUAGCUGGAGUGCUGGAGAAGAAACUGAAUAGCCCUGAGAUGUACUAGUGGAUAGUGCCAUUUUAUAGAAGAGAAAACUGAAAUACAGAUAUUUGAUAUCUUGCCUCUGGCUGCCUGGACAGAAGAUUUGUGCACAGAGAAAUCUGGGAAGAAGAACUGGUUGAAGAACACAGGGUAGAAGGAUAAAGAACAAGUUUAUUUUGAUUUAUGUUUGUUAUGAAGUGUCAGAGGCUGUCCAGAUGAAAAUGCUCAAUGAUAUUCUUUAUCUUUAAAGGAAAAAUAAUUCAUGUAUUUCAUGCUGGUAGCAUGAAAUGUUCUUCCAACACAGUAUACCAUAAACACCAUCGUCUGGCUGUGCAUAUUAUGGUACUUAUGGCUCAUAGUACUCCUUUAAUAUGGCCUCAUAUUGUAUCAUUGAUUGACACUGCAAGUUUGUGAUAUGAGCAAAUUCCCUUUUAGGAAGACAGUUGAACACUAUUCAUAUUCAUAUUGUCUUUUAUCAGAAAUUUCAUUAGAUAAAGUGUAUUUAAUUUCAAAACUGGAAACCACAACGAAAUGUUUCUAUACAAUGAAAAGAGAAAAGGCAAACAAAAUAGAACUCAGGCUUCAAAACUCCUAAGUUUGCCAUCAUAUCCUUUCUUAAACAAAUAGGGUGUCAAACUUAGCACAUCUGCAUAUCACCGUUCUUGACAAUAAAAUAAAACUGCAAACAUAUCAAUAAAGCAAUGUUGGAGGACCAA